UACAGAGGGUGCGAACGUUGCUCGGAAUUACUGGGCGUAAAGCGCGUGUAGGCGGGUCGCAAGUCAGGCGUGAAAUCCCCAGGCUCAACCUGGGAACUGCGCUUGAAACUGCCGGUCUUGAGUAUCGGAGAGGGUGGCGGAAUUCCUGGUGUAGAGGUGAAAUUCGUAGAUAUCAGGAGGAACACCGGUGGCGAAGGCGGCCACCUGGACGAUUACUGGACGCUGAGACGCGAAAGCGUGGGGAGCAAACAGGAU
rnacentral:rRNA from 1 species